rnacentral:rRNA from 1 species
CAGAGGUCCCAAGCGUUGUUCGGAUUCACUGGGCGUAAAGGGUGCGUAGGUGGCCAGGUAAGUUCGGUGUGAAAGCUCGGAGCUUAACUCCGAAAUGGCAUUGAAUACUAUCUGGCUGGAGGGUCGGAGGGGAGACUGGAAUUCUCGGUGUAGCAGUGAAAUGCGUAGAUAUCGAGAGGAACACCAGUGGCGAAGGCGAGUCUCUGGACGACUCCUGACACUGAGGCACGAAAGCCAGGGGAGCAAACAGGAUUAGAUACCCUGGUAGUCCUGGCUGUAAACGGUGCACGUUUGCUGUAAGAGGAAUCGACCCCUUUUGUGGCGAAGCUAACGCGAUAAACGUGCCGCCUGGGGAGUACGGUCGCAAGAUUAA